GAUAAACGCUAGCGGCGUGCCUUAUGCAUGCAAGUCGAACGGUUUAUCGAAAGAUAAAUAGUGGCAAACGGCUGAGUAACACGUAAGUAAUCUAUCCCUAAGCGGGGAAUAAUCCGCCGAAAGGUGGACUAAUACCGCAUGUGGUAAUGGAGGCAGGUUUCCAUUACUAAAGCUUUCGGGCGCUUGGGGAGGGGCUUGCGUCCUAUCAGGUAGUUGGUGGGGUAACGGCUCACCAAGCCAAUGACGGGUAGCUGGUUUGAGAGGACGUCCAGCCAGACGGGGACUGAGACACGGCCCCGACUCCUACGGGAGGCAGCAGCAAGGAAUUUUGCGCAAUGGGCGAAAGCCUGACGCAGCAACGCCGCGUGAGGGAAGAAGGCCUUCGGGUUGUAAACCUCUUUUCUCAGGGAAGAAUAAUGACGGUACCUGAGGAAUAAGUCACGGCUAACUACGUGCCAGCAGCCGCGGUAAAAC
rnacentral:rRNA from 1 species